AAGAUAAUGUACUACAGAUAUUUAAAUCCUUUUUGUAUGUACUCCACUUCUUCACUGCCUGACCAUCAUCUUAAUGUUUAUGAAGUUCAAUUUUUUAUUAUUAUUUUUUUUUAAUCUAAAGCACCUUGUUCAGUGAGUAUUUAGAUGUUUUUCAUAUCUGUCACGGUCUAAUCAUGAUCUGUUUCUGUUGUUCUGAUGAAGGAAGCUUGUGUUGGGGAGGAUUCAAUGUCUGUUGAGGCACAUAUGAAUGUGCAACAAAGUGAGUAUCAGAAAACACAUCCAGACACAUAAACUGUCAAAGACCACACAGCAGGAACAUUCUCCUGGAGAUGCUGAGAAAACAUAGAAGGAAUGUGAUUCCUGUGAAUGUGUUUUUUUGACGAGGAUGUACUCAAAAAAUACACCUACUUCAGGACACCUGCUGGAGGGGACCCGGCUACACCUUUCCUACCAUACACCUGAUGGAUACUGACUGUAAAAUGGCAAUCAUAGGAGGAGCGCUCAGUGUGUUGACAGAAGAUUGAAUAGAUGAGUGUCCGUGCACCAGCCUUGAUGAAGCUUUCAUAACAGCCUUGUGGAUGUAUUCUGCUUUCAACAUUGCAUAUCCACCACACCUGAGUAUGGUUGACUGGAAGUCUGUCAGUCCAGAUGUGAGGAAGACACACAGAGUGGAGCUGGAGCUCAGCAGAUGUGUGAUGCUGUAGAUACUGUGGUCAUGGAAAGAAGAGCAUCUUAACAGCUUUCUAUUCAGACAAAGAGUUUGCUGGAUUCUGUUCUAUGGACUGCUACUAGAGAAUGAAUUAAUGAAUGAGUGGUUUAUCUAUCUAUCUAUCUAUCUAUCUAU